UUAAAGAGUUCUAUAACUCCCAAACCCAUGUGAACAUACCUAACGUUGCCUCGGCAGGUCGCACCUACCUUGUAGCACCCUACCCUGUAGGGCCUACCCGGGAGGUGCGGGUAAGCCUGCCGGCGGCCCACCAAACUCUGUUUGAUAUUGAAUUCUGAACCUAUAACUAAAUAAGUUAAAACUUUCAACAACGGAUCUCUUGGUUCUGGCAUCGAUGAAGAACGCAGCGAAAUGCGAUAAGUAAUGUGAAUUGCAGAAUUCAGUGAAUCAUCGAAUCUUUGAACGCAUAUUGCGCCCAUUAGUAUUCUAGUGGGCAGGACCGUUCGAGCGUCAUUUCAACCCUUAAGCCUUCGUUGCUUAGUGUUGGGAGCCUACGGCAACGUAGCUCCUCAAAGUUAGUGGCGGAGUUGGUUCACACUCUAGACGUAGUAAUUUUUUAUCUCGCCUAUUAGUUGGACUAAUCCCCUGCCGUAAAACCCCUAAUUUAUCAAGGUUGACCUCGAAUCGGUUCAGACAAACUCGCUAAAUUGAAGCAUCUUAGUCAGCGAAGGAAAAGAAACCAACAGGGAUUGCCCUAGUAACGGCGAGUGAAGCGGCAACAGCUCAAAUUUGAAAUCUGGCCCUCGGGUCCGAGUUGUAAUU
rnacentral:rRNA from 1 species